rnacentral:lncRNA from 1 species
GUAACAUCGUCUCGUUCAUUGUGUUCCUUUCUCCACUAUAAGUCUCCAUAUACAUUUUCUUUUUGAAAUGUUUAGUUUAUUUGAUUUGUAAUCUGACUGACACCAUAUUUUCCUAAUUGCAGGCCCACAUUUUAUAGGAUAUACAAGAAAAAAUCAACUGAAGGUUAUCAAUCAGUUCCAUAUGUGGUUGCGCUCUUUAGUUCCAUGCUUUGGAUUUACUAUGCACUUCUCAAGACCAACACUACACUUCUCAUCACUAUAAACUCCUUUGGGGUCUUCAUUGAAACUAUCUAUGUUGGUUUCUACCUUUUCUACGCACCAAAGAACGCCAAGGUAAGGUUUUACAAGACACCUAUAGUUAAGGAGUUUUUUUUUUUCGAUCUUUCCUCUUUCUAAAGCAAGAAAAUUACAUGUAAUUUAUUAAUGCAGGUCCAAACUGUGAAGAUGCUCCUAUUAUCUGUAGUGGGUGGCUUUGGUGCUACAGUUCUCGUUACCCAGUUUCUAUUCAAAGGAGCAGUUCGAGGGCAAAUAGUUGGAUGGAUUUGCCUUGUGUUUUCCUUGUGUGUGUUUGUAGCACCCUUAGG